CCAAGGUUCCCAAGAAAACAUGUCUAAUUAUGAAGCUAAAUUAGACUUUUUGCGUUAAUAACAAACGCCAAAGGCACCUGACCAAGGCUGGCUUUUUGACGCGAAGGGAGUGAGAAUGUGUUGG